rnacentral:lncRNA from 1 species
CAGAGUUCUCAACUGGAAGCAGGGAUAUCUGGAAGGUGCAUAAUAAAUAUACACAGACUACAUUUUUGGUUACAAGCUGACAGGCGAUUUUUCAUGGCUUAAAGUUUCUCUCUCUUCUCUCUCAUUCUCUGCUCUCUUUUUCUCUCACGCAUUCACUUGCAGCUUGGGGCUGCACACAUUCUGCAUUCUCUUGUGCUCUCUGCUUUUCUCCUGUGCUCUUUUCUUUUCUUGAACUCUCAUACUCAUACACACCUCUGUGUGUUCCUCUUUUAC